AACGAACGCUGGCGGCAGGCUUAACACAUGCAAGUCGAGCGCCCCGCAAGGGGAGCGGCAGACGGGUGAGUAACGCGUGGGAAUCUACCCAUCUCUAUGGAAUAACGCAUGGAAACGUGUGCUAAUACCGUAUACGUCCUUCGGGAGAAAGAUUUAUCGGAGAUGGAUGAGCCCGCGUUGGAUUAGCUAGUUGGUGGGGUAAAGGCCUACCAAGGCGACGAUCCAUAGCUGGUCUGAGAGGAUGGUCAGCCACACUGGGACUGAGAGCACGGCCCAGACUCCUACGGGAGGCAGCAGUGGGGAAUAUUGGACAAUGGGCGCAAGCCUGAUCCAGCCAUGCCGCGUGAGUGAUGAAGGCCCUAGGGUUGUAAAGCUCUUUCACCGGUGAAGAUAAUGACGGUAACCGGAGAAGAAGCCCCGGCUAACUUCGUGCCAGCCGCCGCGGUAACAC
rnacentral:rRNA from 1 species